rnacentral:tRNA from 1 species
GCGCCUGUAGCUCAAGUGGAUAGAGCAGCAGCCUUCUAAGCUGUUGGUUGUGGGUUCAAGUCCCGCCAGGCGCA